rnacentral:rRNA from 1 species
GACGAACGCUGGCGGCGUGCUUAACACAUGCAAGUCGAACGGUGAAGCGCCUUCCUUUUUGGUGGGUGUGGAUGAGUGGCGAACGGGUGAGUAACACGUGAGUAACCUGCCCCCUUCUUCUGGAUAACCGCAUGAAAGUGUGGCUAAUACGGGAUAUUCUGGGUCUGUCGCAUGAUGGGUCUGGGAAAGAUAUUGUUUCGGUGGGGGAUGGGCUCGCGGCCUAUCAGCUUGUUGGUGGGGUGAUGGCCUACCAAGGCGGUGACGGGUAGCCGGCCUGAGAGGGUGGACGGUCACACUGGGACUGAGACACGGCCCCGACUCCUACGGGAGGCAGCAGUGGGGAAUAUUGCACAAUGGGCGCAAGCCUGAUGCAGCGACGCCGCGUGAGGGAUGGAGGCCUUCGGGUUGUGAACCUCUUUCGCCAGUGAAGCAGGCCUGCCUCGUUUGUGGGUGGGUUGACGGUAGCUGGAUAAGAAGCGCCGGCUAACUACGUG